CUUGAAGUGGAAGGAUGCAAAGGGGAAGCCCCGGCUGUGCAAGCCCAUCAAAUGCGGGCCUGGUCCGGAGACGCCUCCAGAGAACGCAAAGCUGACCUCCAGGCCAGCAGAAGGCG
rnacentral:ribozyme from 1 species